CGAUUUCUCCUCUUCCCCUCCUCGCACAGAGUCCAGAGCCGAGCUCUCUCCAGCACUCAGGAACGUCGCCGCCAUGAGCCAUGGCCGCCGUCGCCCUGCUUCCGUAGAGCUCCCCCCUGCGCCCCUCCUUCCCCAAAACCGACCCUCUAGCGAGCUUCGUCAGUCCUCACUGGUCCUCCCAAGGCCGCUUACCGCCGUCCAGAGCCUCCGGAACACCGCCGCCACGGCACAGCAUCGCCGCCGUCCGCAGCUCGCCGUCGAGCUCGUCGUUCCGCCCUCUCCCCGCCCAAAACAACCUCGGUAACGGCUUCACCUCGCCCCAACGGAGCUCCCAAGCCCAGCCACCUCCAUCCAUGGUCGCCGGAACACCACCGCCACGGCGCAGUUCUGCCACUGUCCGCCGGCGCCUGUGGAGCCGCCGCCUCGGACCUCCUCCCCGCGAACCAAGGACACCCAAAGGUAGUACAUCUGAGGAUGUGGCUGACGUCAUGUACGGGCUUCAUCAUGACGUCUUGUUUCGUUGCUAGACCAUCGUUCGUUUUCCGUCAAACUUAAACUCUGUGAUACUUUUAUGAAUUCAAACUCGGUUUGUAAUAAUAAUAAUUCAAUUUUAUACUCUGUACUGUAAAAUUUGCGGAAUGUUGCACACUCUGAACUGCUUUGUCGAUCCUGUUUCAAGUGGUUUAAUCGGGAUUUUACCCGACAGCACUGCCGGAUUACUCCGUUUUAAGUACGUGUUAACCCUAGUUACCGUUUCGGUGAUGGUUAGCACACUUAAGCCGGAUUAAUUUAGGCGGGACUGCCACACCAAUUCAUGGAUUUGAUAGGGUACUAGAGAUAGGCGUAGCUAUUCGGAACAAAGAGAUGCAUCAUCGACUCAAGAAUGACUUGAAUGAGCAUAUUUGGGAAAAAUCUGGAGGCAACCAACAUCAUUAGUGAUCCGUCUACGUUUUCAUUUACUGAAAAAUAUUGUACCCAUUUCAAAUUAUUUUAUUCUUACUGCAAUGUAACUGUAUUA